rnacentral:rRNA from 1 species
CCAGUAGUCAUAUGCUUGUCUCAAAGAUUAAGCCAUGCAUGUCUCAGUGCAUGCCGAAUUAAGGUGAAACCGCGAAUGGCUCAUUAAAUCAGUUAUGGUUCCUUAGAUCGUACCCACAUUUACUUGGAUAACUGUGGUAAUUCUAGAGCUAAUACAUGCAAACCAGAGUCCCGACCAGAGAUGGAAGGGACGCUUUUAUUAGAUCAAAACCAAUCGGUGGCGGGCUUCGCGGCUCGUCCAUCGUCAAACUUGGUGACUCUGAAUAACUUUGUGCUGAUCGCACGGUCUCGUACCGGCGACGCAUCUUUCAAAUGUCUGCCUUAUCAACUGUCGAUGGUAGGUUCUGCGCCUACCAUGGUUGUAACGGGUAACGGGGAAUCAGGGUUCGAUUCCGGAGAGGGAGCCUGAGAAACGGCUACCACAUCCAAGGAAGGCAGCAGGCGCGCAAAUUACCCACUCCCGGCACGGGGAGGUAGUGACGAAAAAUAACGAUACGGGACUCAUCCGAGGCCCCGUAAUCGGA